CCUACGGGAGGCAGCAGUGGGGGAUAUUGCACAAUGGGGGGAACCCUGAUGCAGCGACGCCGCGUGGGUGAAGGAGCGUUUCGGCGCGUAAAGCCCUAUCGGCAGGGAAGAAGGAGGACGGUACCUGACUAAUAAGCCCCGGCUAACUACGUGCCAGCAGCCGCGGUAAUACGUAGGGGGCAAGGGUUAUCCGGAUUUACUGGGGGUAAAGGGGGCGCAGACGGCAGCGCAAGCCAGGAGUGAAAGCUCGGGGCCCAACCCCGAGACUGCUAUUGAGACUGGGCGGCUGGAGUGCAGGUGGGGCAGGCGGAAUUCGUGGUGUAGCGGUGAAAUGCGUAGAUAUCAGGAGGAACACCGAUGGCGAAGGCGGCCUGCUGGACUGCGACUGACGUUGAGGCCCGAAAGUGUGGGGAGCAAACAGGAUUAGAUACCCCUGUAGUC
rnacentral:rRNA from 1 species